rnacentral:rRNA from 1 species
GUGGGGAAUAUUGGACAAUGGGCGAAAGCCUGAUCCAGCAAUGCCGCGUGAGUGAUGAAGGCCUUAGGGUUGUAAAGCUCUUUUACCAGGGAUGAUAAUGACAGUACCUGGAGAAUAAGCUCCGGCUAACUCCGUGCCAGCAGCCGCGGUAAUACGGAGGGAGCUAGCGUUGUUCGGAAUUACUGGGCGUAAAGCGCACGUAGGCGGUUACUCAAGUCAGAGGUGAAAGCCCGGGGCUCAACCCCGGAACUGCCUUUGAAACUAGGUAACUAGAAUCUUGGAGAGGUCAGUGGAAUUCCGAGUGUAGAGGUGAAAUUCGUAGAUAUUCGGAAGAACACCAGUGGCGAAGGCGACUGACUGGACAAGUAUUGACGCUGAGGUGCGAAAGCGUGGGGAGCAAACAGGAUUAGAAACCCUAGUAGUCC